rfam:Triticum urartu cultivar G1812 contig876313, whole genome shotgun sequence.
CUACUACUCCCUCCGUCCUAAAAUUCUCGUCUUAGAUUCGUCUAGAUACGGAUGUAUCUAAUACUAAAAUGUGACUUGAUACAUCCGUACUUAGACAAAUCUAAGACAAGAAUUUUGGGACAGAGGGAUUACAGU